GGUAUUCUUAGUCCAAGAACUGUGCUUCGCUCUGGUUUGGUUUUAACUUUUUAAAAUUAGUCAUAUGUUGCUUCCUAUUACUGUGAGAAGCACCGAAUGUGACCUGGGGAGGAAAGGGUUUCUUUGGCUUAUUUGUCUCAACAGUUAAUCACGGAGAGAAGUCACAGCGGGAACUCAAGCAGGAACAGAGGCAGGACCCAAGGAAAACACUGCUAAAAUGGCUUGCUCCCCAUGACAUUUCUAGUGUAACUCCAGACCCGCUGUCUAGGGUGGCGCUACCACAGGCUGCUGGGUGCUCCCGCAGCAAUCAGUAAAGACAAUGCCCGCAGACACACCCAAUGGCCAAUCUGAUGGAGCAGUUCUUCAAUUAAGGUUCCCUCCUCCCCGGAAAAUAGAUGAAACUGGAGGUCAUCAGAUAAACAAAUAUUUUAUGUUUUCCCUCAUAUGUGGAGUCUUGAUUUAAAAAGAAGAGGAUGCCUUGUGGGGUAGCUAAAUGGUUAAGAGCAUCUAUUGCUCUUGGAGAGAAGCCAAAUUCAGAUCCCAGCCCCAUGUAACAAGCUGGACUGUCUGCAACCCCUGUAACCUCAUCCCUGAGGAGGCUGGAGACUGGAAGAUCGCGGGGACUAUUGAAAGAUCGCGGGGGCUAUUGGAAGAUCAUUGGGGACAAUUGGAAGAUGACUGGGGACUAUUGGAAGAUCAUUGGGGACUAUUGGAAGAUCAUUGGGGACCAUAGGCUUCUAUCUUAGCUGGGGGAAAAAUAUGUAGGUUCAGGGAGAGAUCCUGCCAUAAUGAAGUGUGGGAGAGAUUGCCUGGUGCCCUUCUCUGGCUUCCAAAUAGGUACAGGCACCUGCACACAUGCACAUCAACACAUACACACACACACACACACACACACACACACACACACACUCACACACAUAUACACUCACACACAUAUUCACACAAACUCACACACACACUCACACACAUUAUUUAAUAUCACAUAUAACUGAAUGUUCCUAUGGUAGUAGCUAUUUUAUUUUAUUAUAUAGGGAUUAUUACAUUAUAAUGGUCAAGGACCUUAUAUUAAAUGAACUGACUUAUUUUGCUGCUAAGAGGCAUUGUUAAAAGGAGACUUAAUCUGUUUUCAUUUAUCGACGUGUCAAUUUUUUUCAUGCUCAGCCCAAACUUUGGUCAAUUCAGGUCCUUCCAGCCAGAUAUUCCUGGAGCAAGAACAUUUGUUUUCUUAGAUGCAGCUGUUUUGUUUUAUAG
ensembl:lncRNA